rnacentral:tRNA from 1 species
GGUUCCAUAGUGUACUGGUUAGCAUGUCUGGUUUACACGCAGAAGGUUCUGGGUUCGCGUCCCAGGUAGAGCCA